CAGCAGCCGCGGUAAUACGUAGGUGGCAAGCGUUGUCCGGAAUUAUUGGGCGUAAAGGGCUCGCAGGCGGUUUCUUAAGUCUGAUGUGAAAGCCCCCGGCUCAACCGGGGAGGGUCAUUGGGAACUGGGAAACUUGAGUGCAGAAGAGGAGAGUGGAAUUCCACGUGUAGCGGUGAAAUGCGUAGAGAUGUGGAGGAACACCAGUGGCGAAGGCGACUCUCUGGUCUGUAACUGACGCUGAGGAGCGAAAGCGUGGGGAGCGAACAGGAUUAGAGACCCCGGUAGUCCCUGUCUCUUAUAC
rnacentral:rRNA from 1 species